ACUGGGUGGUGGUGGCACUCAGGUGUCCCCAGUGUCCCCAGUGUCCAUUGGGUGAAGGUGGCACUCAGGUGUCCCCAGUGUCCCCAGUGUCCAAUGGGUGGUGGUGGCACUCAGGUGUCCCCAGUGUCCCCAGUGUCCAAUGGGUGGUGGUGGCACUCAGGUGUCCCCAGUGUCCCCAACAGCCACUGGGUGGUGGUGGCACUCAGGUGUCCCCAGUGUCCAUUGGGUGGAGGUGGCACUCAGGUGUCCCAGUGUCCCCAACAUCCAUCGGGUGGUGGUGGCACUCAGG